CACCAUCAUCACAAUGCCCAUAUUGCUCCCACAAUUGCAGCAGCACCUGUGCCUGCAUCUUGGAAAAGUUCUCCUGCACCUGAGAAAAGUUCACCUGCACCUGAGAAAAGUUCACCUGCACCUAAGAAAAGUUCACCUGCACCCAAAAGUUCUCCUGCACCUGAAAGAAGUUCUCCUGCACCUGAAGGAAGUUCUCCUGCACCUGAGAGAAGUUAUGAAGCAAGGCCUCCUGGUUGCCAAAAUGGGCAUAAAAGAAAGUUCACGAGCAAGACCAAAAAGCCAGCUCAAUCAGUCCCUACUGUUGCACCAAGGAUUUCUCCGCACUAUUCUGCGGCCUCAC
rnacentral:lncRNA from 1 species